rnacentral:sRNA from 1 species
AUCAACUUUCGAUGGUAGGAUAGAGGCCUACCAUGGUGGUAACGGGUAACGGGGUGUUAGGGCACGACACCGGAGAGGGAGCCUGAGAAACGGCUACCACAUCCAAGGAUGGCAGCAGGCGCGCAAAUUACCCAAUCCCGACACGGGGAGGUAGUGACAAUAAAUAACAAUACGGGGUUCUUUCGGAUCUCGUAAUUGGAAUGAGUACAAUUUAAAUCUCUUAACGAGGAAUAAUUGGAGGGCAAGUCUGGUGCCAGCAGCCGCGGUAAUUCCAGCUCCAAUAGCGUAUAUUAAAGUUGUUGCAGUUAAAAAGCUCGUAGUUGAAUUUCGGGAUCAUCAGGUUGGUCGUGCCUCUGGUAUGUACUGAUUUCGAUGGUUCCUCCUUCUUGUAGAACCGUAAUGCCAUUAAUUUGGUGUUGCGGGAAAACAGGACUGUUACUUUGAAAAAAUUAGAGUGUUUAAAGCAGGCAAUCGCUUGAAUACAUUAGCAUGGAAUAAUGAAAUAGGACGUUUGAUCUUAUUUUGUUGGUUUCUAGGAUUGACGUAAUGAUUAAUAGGGAUAGUUGGGGGCAUUAGUAUUCAAUUGUCAGAGGUGAAAUUCUUGGAUUUAUUGAAGACUGACUACUGCGAAAGCAUUUGCCAAGGAUGUUUUCAUUAAUCAAGAACGAAAGUUAGGGGAUCGAAGACGAUCAGAUACCGUCGUAGUCUUAACCAUAAACUAUGCCGACUAGGGAU